CCUGCGCGUCAGGGGUACGGGGAGCCGAGCGGAAGUGCGGUGGGUGGGCGGGUAGCCGAAGGUGCACGAGGAGGUUCCGUCCUUGACCUUUGGUCUGGUGGCCCAGCAGAACCCCCGGAAGCCCUGUGGUGAGGCCCGAGAUUGUACAGGAACAGCUUAAGACCACUCAGUGGUCAAUACUAUCCAUUCGGUGGCCUGAACAGGGGGAGCUGCACCCCAGUCUUCAGUGGGGUGCUGAACACUCCAGUCUUUGGUGGGGAAUUGCUGAAAAGGCACAGAGGCACGUGCCUGCCUGCAGAGCAGGUCUGGGACCGCAGGUGGAGCAGCCAUGAACUCAGGAGCCGGAGCAGUCCAUUCACCCUGAAAUUCUUCCUUGAGAGAGACAGAGCAUGAACAGGGGAGGGUCAGAGAGACGGAGACACAGAAUCUGAAAC